AUGCAGGCCAGUGAACUCAUCGCUGAAUCUGUCCCUGAAAGAUCAAGUACCCUCCUAGAAGAACAACAAUAUUCGGCAUUAGGAGACAUCACAACCGCAGAGUUGAAAGAGACUGAAACUCCACCAGUUGCACCUACCGUAAACAAGGAAAAUGAAGCAACGGAAAGAAUUACUGAAGCUGCUGUAGGAGAAAGUUUCAGAAGCAAAGAAGAGGUUUCGAGCAUAGUAGCUGAAAAUGGAUCCUUAAACACUGACAUGGAAGAAACAGUCUCUGAAGUUAUGACUGAGGAAAUUCCUGAGUGUGACAUUGCCAAAAAAGAUGAAAAUACAGAAUCUCCAGGAAGUGAUCUACCCCUUGCUGAAGAAAACGACAAAAUUGUGGAGGAAGAUCUCCUCGUAGACAAAGAGGAAGCGUCAAGUCUUGCGGUUGAAACUGGAAGUUUGAUAACUGAUGUAUCCGAUAUCUUGGCAAUAGAUACAGAAGAAAUUUCUGAUGCUGAAAUAUUCCAAAAAGUUGAAAGUAUCGGCAUUGAAGCAUCCGUAGGUAAAGAAAUAGUAGCUAUUCAACAGCCUCCAGUCGCCGAUGGUUGUGAGGAAAGUGCUCAAGAAACCAAAGAUGAAGUGUCUAGUCUAAAGGCAGAGGUAGGCAGUCCGAUCACUGAUGUUGUCUCAGAAAUGAUCGUGGAAUUGGAGACCAUUGAAAAUCUAGAGCAGGAAACGAGUCAUAAAGCUGUACUCACAGGCGUAAAAGAUGAAUCCUCCUCUGUUGAAAUAGUUGAAGAGGGCUGUGAGCUUGUUCCCGAGGACAUAGCAAGAGAAGAAUUAAAUGACGAAGUUUCAAGCUUAAUUGUUGAAACAGGAAGCCAAAUCGAAGAUAUCCCAGAAGUCUCAGAGCUGGAGACUCAAGUCUGCGCCAAUCCAUUAAGCACAUUUGAAGUUCAAGGCGAAGCUCCUGAAUCACUUGAACUUGAAUGCUCUAUGUCAGAAGACGCUCUAGAGGAGACAUCAAGCAUACUUGUUGAAGCAGGAAGUCAGGUCACCGAUCUUAUCUCAGAACCCUCUGUCUUUGAUCUAGAUAGCCCAUCCAGCCUGGAUUCAUUAGAUGAAGAGACCCCAGGUUUUGAGGUCUCCGACUCCGAAGAUGAAGCAUGCGCUCUCCUUCAAGAGCGUCAAAAAGUAGAAGAAAUUGAGACUGGUGCGAUUCUGGAAAUAGUUGAAACAGCUGUUACUGAGUUAUUAUUCAAAGUUGUCGAAGAGAUGACAAUUGAUGCUAAAAAUUCUGAAGCCUGCGAAGAACGUGAAAUUGGUGAAAUGACUGACGAUCAAUUAACUUUAAAGUCAGUGGCUCCUCAGGCUGAAAAAAUAACCAUUAGCUCCAACAUACCUUCAGUGGCUGAAAAUGAUAAUAAAGAAUGCAUAGCAGAUGUAGAGCUCAUGCCUCAAGGCACAGAAGAAAUUCUAAUUUCAACUCUUUCAACUCUCUCUACUUCAGAGGCAAUUAUCAAUGAAAAUUCAGAUAGUGCAUCUGUAAGUGUAGAAAUCGAAAAUCACAUAUUAAGAACUGCAAGUUCAUGCUCUGAUAAAACUAAGGUCUUGCCAGAACAUGAAAAGAGCAUAUCAGGAAGUGCGGAAGUUCUUGAUCAAAUCGUUGAAACAGGAAAGGCGAUAGAAUCCGAACAAACCAUUAUUGAAGAUACAGAAGUUACAACGAACUGUUUGAAUGAAACUAGCGAAGAUGAAAUUCAUACUGAAAUCUCUUCAACGCCGCCAGUAAAUUUCGAGGUCAUAGAGCCUGCAACUACUCUUACAUCCUCGAUCUGUAUUGAGACUCCUAGCAAAGAUUCUAGCCCUAUCACAAUAGAACCAACGAGUUCUAAGUUCAACGAAACCUCAGCAAGUGAGGCCGCAAAAUCCAAUGAAGCCAACCCAGCUCUAAUGAUCGCUAGCAUGGAACAUGUUAACGUCGGUAAUACAGAUGGUAAUCUAAAUCUAAUGCCAAGCUUUCCGAGCGCUGAAUCUGAAGAGUGCAAUAUUGUGUCAGAAGGUACUGAUUUUAGACCCUCAGAAGUACAGUGUAACAUUGCAUCAAGAAUUUGUGAAACCGAGCAGUUUUUGGAAAUUGACUCUGUAGGAAUUGAUGUUCCUAUUUUACCAGAAACAGCAAAUGAUUCCACGAGGCAAGUCUGUUCCGUCAUUAAGCCUCCAGAAUUAGAAGCUAAAAACAGUAUUGUUAGUUCUGGUAGUCAAGAUAAUAAUGCAACUUCAGUAUCUCAAUCUUCACUUGGAACUGUUCAUGUUGAUCUCUUAGAGCCAAAGGAAUCCCUACCAGUCACAAUAACUAAUGUUACAGAUGCCGCUGAUGAUAUUGAAAGCAAAGUAGAUGAAGGAAGAGAAAGUGCUUCAUCGAAGGAAUUGUUGGAGUCAGUUGACACACAAGCCAGUGUACAUACUGAGGAAAAAAUUGAUAAAUCAAUCUGCACCAGCGAAAAUGAGACUGACAACUUCCCUACUCCAUCCAUUGAAUCCAAAUUGACCAUCGAGCAGCAUCAAAGUAUUGAUUCUCCUGUAGAGAGUCGCCCUAAAAAUGAUUGUCUAGAAGCAGAUUCAGUUGGAGAAUCUGUUGAAAUUUCAGUCCCGUUGAAAUCGGAAGUAACAGCGCAAGUAUCGAAGAGGAGAGGAAGACCACCGAAACGGAAACGUCCCAUCAAGAUAAGUCAAGUGGAAGCCCCAAAUAUUACUUGUUUAGGUGAGAAAUCAGUAUCUAUCGAAGCAGGGAGCGUGAAGCCCAGUGAAGUGUCAAUUGAAACAUGUAGCUCUCCGCCGCCAGCUAAAAGAUUCUUGUUUGAAAGACCCAAAACUCGCCGUUUUGCAAAAGCAGAGCCAAUUAAAUCAGACGGCAUACAAAAUCAGAAUAGUACAAAAGAAACAGAUUUUGCUGAGAAAAUACAACCCUCAUCAAAAGUAAAUGCUGGUACCUUUUUAUCUCCUACUGAAAGGCCACAUACCCGUAGGCGCACAUCAGAAUGCGCAAUUGAGUCCGAAGUGACAUCUGAUGAGUUGGAAAAGGAAGGAUUAAAUGACUCAAGCCCUGCAAGAAGUUUGCCCGCUCAUGAACCUCAAACAUUGGAAUCAAAGCCUAAACGUGGAAGGCCCAAGAAGACAAGGCCCUCCUCUACGUCGCAAAGUGAAUCUGACAGCGUCAGUGAUGGGCGUCUUGACACCUCAGCUUGCUCUCAGCCUGAAAAUCCUGAAUCGAUGGACUCCGAUGUGUUAGCCGAGGAUGCUAAACCAAGGAGAGGAAGAAAAAAGAAAGGAAGUGUUACCACGGAAACAUGUAAAGAGUUUCAAAUAAAUCUAAAACAAACAGAACCUAUAGUUUUGGAUCAAAGUGUCGCGGCGCCUAAAAGUUCUUUAGAGAGUUAUCAGUCUGAAGAGUCCGUAGUUUACCUUGAAAAAGCUGAAAAUAUUGAUGAAAGUUCUGAAGAUUAUGUUGAACCCAAGGAAGAGUGGAAAAAGAAAAAUACCCUUCCUUCAGAAACCGCAGAAAGCAGAGCCGCAGAGCCGGGCAAAAGUAAAAAAACGGGAGCAUCUUAUCCUCAAGAAUGUAGUAAGCCUGACGAAAGGAUUGUCUCUAGUCCUAAGUUGGAGGCAGAUAUAAUCGGUAGGGAAUGGAAGGACAAUCUCGAAAAAAACAGGGAGCAGUUAGGUGAAGCCUUCUCUGAUAUUAAAUCUAGAAGAGGCAGGCGUAAAAUAAGUUUCAAUGAAAAUCCAGCGGCAUGUGAACUUAAAAUUGCAUCGCCACAAUCUUCUAAAAACUCCAAGAAAGAAGACAGUACUUCCAAAAAUGAGAGUUUAACGGAAGUUAUCGACAUCCCUGAAGACAAACCCAGGAGAGGAAGGCGCAAAACAAGUGCUAGCUCUACAGACACUGAGGCACCUAAAAAUGAUGCAAUGGAGAAUGAAAACCUGGUUGAACUUGAGCUUCCUAGUACCAAUGCAAAUGAAGAUAUUGAAGGGUUACGUAACACACUAAUCUCAGACAGUAAACUCAGGAGUGGUAGACGUAAAAUAAGUUUUAGCUCAGUUGCACAGUCUUCCGUAACUCAAAAAGUAGACUCUGUAUUGACAAGUCCUGAAGACCAACAGAGAAUUCAGCCAGCCUUAGAAUGCACACCCAGGAGAGGAAGGCGGAGAAACUAA
rnacentral:lncRNA from 1 species